rnacentral:rRNA from 1 species
CGAUCCUACGGGGCGCAGCAGUGGGGAAUAUUGCACAAUGGGCGAAAGCCUGAUGCAGCAACGCCGCGUGAAGGAAGACGGUUUUCGGAUUGUAAAAUUCUAUCAAUAGGGAAGAAAGAAAUGACGGUACCUAAAUAAGAAGCCCCGGCUAACUACGUGCCAGCAGCCGCGGUAAUACGUAGGGGGCAAGCGUUAUCCGGGAUUACUGGGUGUAACGGGAGAGUAGGGGGCAAGGGAAGCG